AUAAUCAGAAGGAGACACAUUUUUUCAGGUUAUGGAAAAGUGCUUCAAGUGAUGACUACAGCUGCAUCUGUCACACCUCCAUAAAGGUAACUAGGGAUGCAAGAUAUCUGUCAAAGGCUCCAAGCUUGGAUGUGUCCUCAGAGUGAAGAUUAGAGGGUUUCACUCAAAGUCAUGGACAGCAGAAUCUAUGGACAGCUCUUCCCAAAAACAAAGCAGUCAGAAGAAUGGAG